UACGUAGGGUGCGAGCGUUAAUCGGAAUUACUGGGCGUAAAGCGCGUGUAGGCGGCUUCGUAAGUCCGUUGUGAAAGUCCAGGGCUCAACCCUGGAAUGCCGAUGGAUACUGCGGAGCUAGAGUCCGGAAGAGGCGAGUGGAAUUCCUGGUGUAGCGGUGAAAUGCGCAGAUAUCAGGAGGAACACCAAUGGCGAAGGCAGCUCGCUGGGACGGUACUGACGCUGAGACGCGAAAGCGUGGGGAGCAAACAGG
rnacentral:rRNA from 1 species